GGAAUUUUUUAACCGUGUUACAGACAUUUGCAUAACAUUUUUAUUACAAGAUGACCAAUUACUCAACAUUAAGCAAACUAUUAGAUGGCAUUUUUAUUUUAAUCAGAAAUUCACAUGGCGUUUUUAUACAAGGUGACCGACAAUUAUGCAUCCAUUAGAGAAUAUUACAAAGUCCAGUUUUGUCAUCUUAAUACUGUACAAGCUGUCAAUGCUAUUUUUGCUGAAUUCCUCGGAGAUGCCUCUUUGUACAGCAAACAGUUACGCCAAGAGUACUUUGAUAUGCGUUGCUGCUCUUUGAAGAGAAUAGAUAUUGAAAGACACUACUAGCGCAUGGCUCAACGCUAUUAUUUACUGAAUGACUAUAAUGAUGUCAAUCUCAGGCACACAUACAUUGUCUCUCUCCCGGAGGCGUUACAACCUAAACUCCACAGAACCAUUGCUACUACUAGAAGAGCAUUGAAUGUCAUCACUGUCGGAGAAAUCCAUCAGAUGACUCUGGCUUGCUUAGACAAGAUGUGUGAGCAACAGAAGUUAUUCGAGCAAGAUAAGCCAGGAGCCCUUAUCAUACAUAUAAUGCACUCAUGCUAUGUCUCUUCCCUCUCCAUAGGUACUCUCUGGCUGUGCCCUUUUAUACAUUAUACGUAUGAUAACGGGAUCGUCGCA
rnacentral:misc_RNA from 1 species